GCGGGGUGGAGCAGCUCGGUAGCUCGCUGGGCUCAUAACCCAGAGGUCGCAGGUUCAAAUCCUGUCCCCGCUA
rnacentral:tRNA from 1 species